UGCCAUUUUUAAAAAAUGAAAACUAUAUAAAAAUUCUCCUAACUGUCCCUGACCCCUGAAGAAAUUGAGAAAAUAAAGGCAACAUGCAUAGAGGGAAGGUUCUAGUUAUCCUGACUGGAGUAUGAAAAAAUCCUGACCCUUGCUGUUAUGGUGGUGUUUGGCUUUGAGAUAAAGGAAGGUCUAUGAGGAGGUACCACAAGCUGUAUCAAGUGAACAUAUUCCAAAAUCAAAAGUGUUAUUCCAAAUAAUGUAUCAUGGAAUCUACAUAAGAGAAAGAGAAAAUAGAUGAAAUCUGGAGCCACAAAACAAUGGAAGACUCUCCUGUUUGGAAAGCUUAACAGAGCCUUCAUGCAGUAACAUAUGGAAGCAGAUGCAGAGAUCCACAGCCAAGCAACAGAGCAAGCUCCAGGAGUCCAGUUGAAGAGAUGGAAGAGGAAUUUGAUGAGGAAGGGGGAGUCACGAUCAUGAUGGAGAAACCUACAGGGACAACCAAACCAAGUUAGUGGGAACUUAUGAACUUUAGACCAAUAGUCGUGGAGUCUCCAUGGGA